GUGUCCAGUAAUUAAAGAAAGAUUCCGUGCAGCUUCCUCCUACCGUGUACUCGUACCGCUUCCUUAUCUCCCAAAAAAGGACAUCUUCUGCCAUGGAAAAAAUUGAUCCAAGAAUCCGCCGGGGUGCGACGCCGAGUCAACGCUAGUUCCAGUCCCAUGCGCGGCGCCGACUGUGCUCCUCUCUCCACUCGCCGUUCCCCCAAAAUGAAACCCUCGACACAACCACUGCCGGGGUCGUUCAAUUUCUCAGAGAUAAAUCUGACAAAGCAACCACUAUGGGAUACAUCAGAUGUGCAGUGAGGUGAUGUAUGUGUGGUGUAGAGAUGGGUGGUAGAGGAGUUGUCAGGUCUAUGUACAAUUUUCUCAAUAUCAGUUGAGUCUGGGAACACGACAAUUUGCUCACCUUGAAGAUGGAACUGCAGUCUCUGUACAGAAAGCUACCGGUGCUGAAGUUCAAAUCCAAAGAUACGCCAAGAUGCUUCACCUGCGGAUAGGUAUCGUGCAUUAAGGUACAUUUGUAUCUCGUCAUAGUUAUUUCCUCCACCCAAAACUACAGUUGCUCUAUCCUCUCCUUUGUGGAUGUACUUGAACAAAUACUUUAUGGAUCAUGAUUUAUUACACCAUUCCACGUUUAUGUGGGCCUGGUAAUUGACUAUCAGGUCCCUGUUGUAUGGAACAACAUACCUGCUAUCUAGUUGUACUCCAUUUUUUCUACUGUCCUGCCAUUAUUUCUUCUUCUGUAUAUUGGGAAUCCUUCUUCAUCGAUGCUUGUUUCCUCGCAGAACAUCUUAGGGAAAUGUUUUGAGCACUUCCCAUUGAUCAUGCAUGGUGACUUGUAGCAUGCCUGGCCACAUGGUCCAUGCAUCAUGAAAUUUUCAACUGCCAUGUAACCUUCUGGAUCAACAUCCUUGUCUGGCACCUCUGCUGAUAUGAUCUGGUCAAUAUUUUGGGGGCUAGGAUCCCUGUCAUCUGGAUCCAAAAAUAAUAGUAUAUGUGCAUGAG
rnacentral:rRNA from 1 species